UCGGUAGGAGUUUGAGUGUCGCCGACGUCACGCCGCGGUGCCGUUAGAGCGUGUCUUCGUCGUCGUAGCGCUGCGGGGAGGCCGGGCGAAGGUGCGAUUCCGCCGUUCUCGACGUCGCGCCGGAUUGGGAUUAGCUAUCGAGCUUGAGCUAUUCGUGGUGGAGAGCACGGUGGAAGAUUGGAGCAACGUCGACGUCGCGUCGCGGAGCCGCUCGAGUGUGCGUCUGUUGCCGUAGUGUCGCGAGGAGGCCGGGCGAGAGUGUGUUACUGCCGUCCUUGACGUCGCACAGAUAUUAGGGUCGUUGUCGAGAUUUCUAGCGUCGAUCGUUGGCGUUUCGGCUCGUACUCGACGUAGGAGCGUCGGAUUUUGACGAGAUUUGAUUCGUUGGAUUCAGGACU